CAGUUUGCACCGGCUGAGGCUCUGGCAUAGUAAAAGUAAAGCAAAGCAUGAGAAGCACAAGUGAAAGCUUUCCUCACAAUGCCCUUCCACUGUGCCUCAACCCUGACCAAAGGGAUCCCCUGAAGGGCUGAGGAGGUACUCAUUUUCAUAGCCAGGCAAUAUUGUCCCUCU
rnacentral:sRNA from 1 species